rnacentral:rRNA from 1 species
UACGAAGGGGGCUAGCGUUGUCCGGAUUUAUUGGGCGUAAAGAGCUCGUAGGCGGCUUGUCGCGUCGGCUGUGAAAUCCCGUGGCUCAACUGCGGGUCUGCAGCCGAUACGGGCAGGCUAGAGUUCGGUAGGGGAGACUGGAAUUCCUGGUGUAGCGGUGAAAUGCGCAGAUAUCAGGAGGAACACCGAUGGCGAAGGCAGGUCUCUGGGCCGAUACUGACGCUGAGGAGCGAAAGCGUGGGGAGCGAACAGG